AGCGAACGCUGGCGGCAGGCUUACCCCUGCAAGUCGGGCGGGCAUCCUUGUGGUGUCAGCGGCAGACGGGUGAGUAACGCGUGGGAACGUGCCCUUCGGUUCGGAAUAACUCAGGGAAACUUGAGCUAAUACCGGAUACGUUCGAGAGCAGAAAGGUUUAUCUGCCGAAGGAUCGGCCCGCGUCUGAUUAGCUAGUUGGUGAGGUUACGGCUCACCAAGGCGACGAUCAGUAGCUGGUCUGAGAGGAUGAUCAGCCACACUGGGACUGAGACACGGCCCAGACUCCUACGGGAGGCAGCAGUGGGGAAUAUUGGACAAUGGGGGCAACCCUGAUCCAGCCAUGCCGCGUGAGUGAUGACGGCCUUAGGGUUGUAAAGCUCUUUUCUCCGGGACGAUAAUGACGGUACCGGAGGAAUAAGCCCCGGCUAACUUCGUG
rnacentral:rRNA from 1 species